UACGGGGGGGGCAAGCGUUGUUCGGAAUUACUGGGCGUAAAGGGCUCGUAGGCGGCCAACUAAGUCGGACGUGAAAUCCCCAGGCUCAACCUGGGAACUGCGUCUGAUACUGGAUGGCUUGAAUCCGGGAGAGGGAUGCAGAAUUCCAGGUGUAGCGGUGAAAUGCGUAGAUAUCGGGAGGAACACCAGUGGCGAAGGCGACUACCUGGCCUGUUCUUGACGCUGAGGCGCGAAAGCUAGGGGAGCAAACGGG
rnacentral:rRNA from 1 species